UUUGUAUUGAACACGCAUGGAAUUGAUUAUAAAUUCCAACACUCUCUCUAAUCAUUGAUUCCAGGUCCGGUCGUAGUUUCCCAGAAUGCACAGAAGACAGUGAUGUCAAAACCUGCACCCAAGACAUGGACCCUGUGGCCUUCAACACCUACACCGAGUUUUUCACCCAUGCCCACAGCAUAUGCCAUUAUUUGCAGAGCGAGCGCUGGCAGCAACGAGCCCAGAGCACCAUUCACAGGUUGAAAAAGCUCCCUAGAUGCUGAUUUUGAAUGUGAAGGGUAGUUAUGUGCAUAAAAUAUUAAUGUGAGCCGAUGUUUAUCUGGGUUUUAGGUUGACUGAGAGUUCAGCGGGUGUAGCGGAGCAGUUGGCGUCCACCCAGCGGAUGGCAGAGGAUCUGGUUGUGGCCCAAAGUGCUGCGCUGAAAUCCCAGGAGAGCAUCCUUCGCAAUGGAGAGGAGCUCAAGAGCACCCUGCAGGACUCGACUCAAGGACUGCGAGAUGUAUUUGCGGAGAUGAGGCAUUCCGCACAGGAGCAGCAGGUGGCAUUUGCGGAAAUCUUCAAUCGUGUGGCCUUCCUGCAGAGUUUCAUCAUGUCUGAGACGCACACUUUCAGUUCCCUGUUUUACAACGCUCUGGGCUUCAGUGCUUCAUUCCUGCUGACCUCUGUGCGCCGUACUGCUGGAGCUAGGCGAGUAUGAACGAAUAAGCAAUAUAUCGACUUAUCGCACAACACAUGGACAUGAGCUCAAUCAAUUUUGGUGAUGCAAUAUAUAUUGCCUAAACAUUAAAAACCAAUUCUAGCAAUAUAUUAGUUGAUUGUGCAACAUCUUUAUCUCUACUGGAGCAGUCAGUAGGGUUCAUAAACACUAUAGUAUUUACUAUAAAUGACUAUAGUAUGUUUUCAUGUGGGUGCCUGAUGACUGAAAUAGUUCUGGUUGCAGAUAUCGCAGCCUUUAUUGGUUUUUAUCUUGCAAUUUUUUGUUAACGUUUAUUAUUAUUUAUUUACGAUAUGCGUUUUCACAUUCCGAUUCAAAUGCCUGAAUAUUAAACUCUUUAAAUGACUCUAAUUAAAUAAAAUAUUCUUAAGAAUAAAAUAUGUUUUGUAUGUAAGACUGUACUUCCGUUGUGAUGAUAUUAUAUUGUCAUUCUGGCAUUAUACAAUACCUAACAAAGGUCUUGUCGUUAAUCUCAGUUGUAAGAGCACCAAAUAAUAACCUGACUUCUAGUUGAUCAUUUGGAAAAGUGGCAGAAGGUAGAUUUUUCAGAUGAAUCAUCUGUUGAACUACA
rnacentral:lncRNA from 1 species